rnacentral:rRNA from 1 species
AUGGCUUCCUCCUCGGAUGCGAACUCGGCGACCAACGAUGGUGGCGGUAGGGGUGGUUAUGGUGGCGGCGGCGGUGCAAUUGCAGAUCCCGAUCUGGAAAACUUCUUCGACCAGUUGGAUCUCAAUGAGGAAGAAUUUGAUGAUGUGGAGAUUGAUGAUGACGACCCAGAAAUCAAAGAGAGCAUUCGUUGGUUAGCCCUUGCUAGGGUUCAUACCGACAAAACCUUCUCGGCGUCAGCCUUUUACAAGGAGAUGCGGGCGGCAUGGAAUCCAGCACAGGGAGUCAGAUUCUGCCCGGUCGGACCGAACAGAUUUUUCGUCAAGGCCGCGUGCUUGGGUGACUGGGAGAGGAUCAUGAAGCAAGGGUCGUGGUUGUUCUGCAACAUGGCGGUACUGUUGUGUAAGUACGAUGGUUUCAGUCGUGCAGAAGAGGUGGUGUUUGAUCACAUGCCCAUAUGGCUCCAGAUUGACAAGUUACCAGAUCCCUACUGCAAGGAUCACAUAGUUGAGAAACUGCUGAAGGGAGCUGGGGAGAUUUUGGAGAUGCUUUUGAAUGGCAAUACAAGGGGGGACUAUGUGAGGAUUAGGGUUAACCAUAACAUCAAAAUCCCCCUCACUAAGUUUGUCAGUAUUGUGCGAGCAAAGGAGAGGCAGGUGUACUUUGUUCGCUAUGAGAAGUUAGCUCGUUUUUGCAAAGUCCGCGGACUGAUUGGUCAUGAUCAUAAGGAGUGUGGACAAGUGCUACGUCUUGAGCUUGCGUUGGUUUUCCCCGAAGAGGAAGGGAUGAUGCGGCAGAGUAGCGUAAGUAUUUCCCUCAGUUUUUGA